rnacentral:rRNA from 1 species
GACGAACGCUGGCGGCGUGCUUAACACAUGCAAGUCGAACGGAAAGGCCCUGCUUUUGUGGGGUGCUCGAGUGGCGAACGGGUGAGUGACACGUGAGUAACCUGCCCUUGACUUUGGGAUAACUUCAGGAAACUGGGGCUAAUACCGGAUAGGAGCUCCUGCUGCAUGGUGGGGGUUGGAAAGUUUCGGCGGUUGGGGAUGGACUCGCGGCUUAUCAGCUUGUUGGUGGGGUAGUGGCUUACCAAGGCUUUGACGGGUAGCCGGCCUGAGAGGGUGACCGGCCACAUUGGGACUGAGAUACGGCCCAGACUCCUACGGGAGGCAGCAGUGGGGAAUAUUGCACAAUGGGCGGAAGCCUGAUGCAGCAACGCCGCGUGCGGGAUGACGGCCUUCGGGUUGUAAACCGCUUUCGCCUGUGGCGAAGCGUGAGUGACGGUAAUGGGUAAAGAAGCACCGGCUAACUACGUG